rnacentral:rRNA from 1 species
GACGAACGCUGGCGGCGUGCUUAACACAUGCAAGUCGAACGGUGAAGGGACCGGUUUUUGCUGGUUCUGGAUGAGUGGCGAACGGGUGAGUAACACGUGAGUAACCUGCCCCCUUCUUCUGGAUAACCGCAUGAAAGUGUGGCUAAUACGGGAUAUUCUGCGCCUGCUGCAUGGUGGGUGUGGGAAAGAUAUUGUUUCGGUGGGGGAUGGGCUCGCGGCCUAUCAGCUUGUUGGUGGGGUGAUGGCCUAGCAAGGCGGUGACGGGUAGCCGGCCUGAGAGGGUGGACGGUCACACUGGGACUGAGACACGGCCCAGACUCCUACGGGAGGCAGCAGUGGGGAAUAUUGCACAAUGGGCGCAAGCCUGAUGCAGCGACGCCGCGUGAGGGAUGGAGGCCUUCGGGUUGUAAACCUCUUUCGCCAGUGAAGCAGGCCUGUCCCUUUUGUGGGUGGGUUGACGGUAGCUGGAUAAGAAGCGCCGGCUAACUACGUG